rnacentral:rRNA from 1 species
UACGGAGGGGGCUAGCGUUGUUCGGAAUUACUGGGCGUAAAGGGCGCGUAGGCGGCCACUGCAAGUCGGUUGUGAAAUCUCCGGGCUUAACCCGGAAAGGUCAACCGAUACUGCAGGGCUAGAGUGCGGGAAGGGGCAACUGGAAUUCUCGGUGUAGCGGUGAAAUGCGUAGAUAUCGAGAGGAACACCUGCGGCGAAGGCGGGUUGCUGGGCCGACACUGACGCUGGAUGCGCGAAAGCUAGGGGAGCGAACGGG